UUUUACGACAUUCUAGUACACUUCGGAUUUGUGAUGGGUAUACACAUAGACUAUUUUUGAUCCCCUAUCCACUAUGUGGGAGGGAUAAUGGCCAUUUCCCAUAAGCUCUAUCUCGAUCUUAUUGCCCGUCUGUUCAAACACUAGCUGUUCAUCGCAAAAAUUACGCUGCACUUCUUCCACCACAGCAUCCGAGAUGGACAGCGUUCGAGACCGAGAUGGUAGCUUCUUCCGACCAAUCACUUGAACUGAAAGCUUUCGAAAUUUAUUGUUUUCAUAGCCCAACAAUGAGUCCAGAACGUGCUGCUUUGUGAGACUAUUCAGCGUUUGUAAUUGCUCUUCCUUGCGAUUAAAGAAGUACUCAGUAGCUACGAUCUCACUCCAAUUCCGCAUUACUUCUUUUCCCGGCCACUGAUCAGCGUUUCGCGCAAAUCAUUUAACUCUGUUUCACUGAGCCGCGCUAAGCCACACGUCCUCUUCGACUACCAUAGUUACAUAGUAGCAGGGUCUAAGGUCAGCACCGAAAGUACAAACAACAGACGCACAGUGUCUCAACACAAUCAGCAUAAUAACCUAGAGUACAUAUGGCCGUGACCUCCAAGGACUACAAUAAAAGUGGAUUAAAUGAGGCACUCAAAGUC